rnacentral:rRNA from 1 species
GUAGGGUGCAAGCGUUAAUCGGAAUUACUGGGCGUAAAGCGUACGCAGGCGGCUUUGCAAGACAGGUGUGAAAUCCCCGGGCCUAACCUGGGAACUGCAUUUGUGACUGCAUAGCUAGAGUCUGUCAGAGGGGGGUGGAAUUCCACGUGUAGCAGUGAAAUGCGUAGAGAUGUGGAAGAACACCGAUGGCGAAGGCAGCCCCCUGGGAUAAGACUGACGCUCAUGUACGAAAGCGUGGGGAGCAAACAGGAUUAGAUACCCUGGUAGUCCACGCCCUAAACGAUGUCUACUAGUUGUCGGAGGGUAACUCCUUCGGUAACGCAGCUAACGCGUGAAGUAGACCGCCUGGGGAGUACGGUCGCAAGAUUAAA